UACAGGGGUGCAAACGUUGCUCGGAAUCAUUGGGCGUAAAGCGCACGUAGGCGGUCUGUUAUGUCGGAUGUGAAGCCCUUGGCUUAACUGAGGAAGUGCAUCCGAACUGGCAGGCUAGAGUACUAAGAGGUCGCGGAAUUCCGGUGUAGAGGUGAAUUCGUAGAUAUCGGAGAACACCGGUGCGAGCGCGACCUGGUAGAUACUGACGCUGAGUGCGAAGCGUGGAGCAAC
rnacentral:rRNA from 1 species